rnacentral:rRNA from 1 species
AUGUACUCAAUGCCCAACAGAGUGCAGGAACAAGACGUCAAGGAAGAAGCGAGCGGGGGCGAGAGAGGCGAGGGGCACUCGAUGCCGAGGAGGACGAGGAGAGCGACGAAUCGACUGAUGACGAAGAAGUCGACUCGCCUCCUCAUAGGGAGAGGAGAUCCAAACAUGCUCACGACCCGGCGAGCGCUCCGGACUUGGUGGCCGUGCCGAUUGGACAGUCUUCGAAGCAUCCCAGGACGUCUUCCCCAAUGCCGACUGAGAAGGCUCCAAAGCAGUCCAAAGUUGUGCCGCCUCCAGCGCCGAAAGCACCGAAAGCCACCUCCUCCAAACUGCCAAAAGCUUUGCCCAGGAUCAAAGUGA